rnacentral:rRNA from 1 species
AGUCGAACGAUGAUGCCCAGCUUGCUGGGUUGAUUAGUGGCGAACGGGUGAGUAACACGUGAGUAACCUGCCCCUGACUCUGGGAUAAGCGUUGGAAACGACGUCUAAUACUGGAUAUGAUCACUGGUCGCAUGGCCUGGUGGUGGAAAGAUUUUUUGGUUGGGGAUGGACUCGCGGCCUAUCAGCUUGUUGGUGAGGUAAUGGCUCACCAAGGCGACGACGGGUAGCCGGCCUGAGAGGGUGACCGGCCACACUGGGACUGAGACACGGCCCAGACUCCUACGGGAGGCAGCAGUGGGGAAUAUUGCACAAUGGGCGAAAGCCUGAUGCAGCAACGCCGCGUGAGGGAUGACGGCCUUCGGGUUGUAAACCUCUUUUAGUAGGGAAGAAGCGAAAGUGACGGUACCUGCAGAAAAAGCACCGGCUAACUACGUGCCAGCAGCCGCGGUAAUACGUAGGGUGCAAGCGUUGUCCGGAAUUAUUGGGCGUAAAGAGCUCGUAGGCGGUUUGUCGCGUCUGCUGUGAAAUCCCGAGGCUCAACCUCGGGCUUGCAGUGGGUACGGGCAGACUAGAGUGCGGUAGGGGAGAUUGGAAUUCCUGGUGUAGCGGUGGAAUGCGCAGAUAUCACGAGGAACACCGAUGGCGAAG